rnacentral:rRNA from 1 species
AUUGAACGCUGGCGGCAUGCCUUACACAUGCAAGUCGAACGGCAGCACGGGUGCUUGCACCUGGUGGCGAGUGGCGAACGGGUGAGUAAUACAUCGGAACGUACCUUAUCGUGGGGGAUAACGCAGCGAAAGCUGUGCUAAUACUGCAUACGCCCUGAGGGGGAAAGCGGGGGAUCGCAAGACCUCGCGCGAUUAGAGCGGCCGAUGCCUGAUUAGCUUGUUGGUGGGGUAAAAGCCCACCAAGGCGACGAUCAGUAGCUGGUCUGAGAGGACGAUCAGCCACACUGGGACUGAGACCCGGCCCAGACUCCUACGGGAGGCAGCAGUGGGGAAUUUUGGACAAUGGGGGCAACCCUGAUCCAGCAAUGCCGCGUGAGUGAAGAAGGCCUUCGGGUUGUAAAGCCCUUUUGUCAGGGAAGAAACACCGGCUCUAACACAGUCCGGGAAUGACGGUACCUGAAGAAUAAGCACCGGCUAACUACGUGCCAGCCGCCGCAGUAA